GACGUAGGGCGCAAGCGUUGUCCGGAUUUACUGGGCGUAAAGGGCGCGUAGGCGGCCACCGCAAGUCAGUUGUGAAAUCUCUGGGCUUAACCCAGAAAGGUCAACUGAUACUGCGGGGCUAGAGUGCAGAAGGGGCAACUGGAAUUCUCGGUGUAGCGGUGAAAUGCGUAGAUAUCGAGAGGAACACCUGCGGCGAAGGCGGGUUGCUGGGCUGACACUGACGCUGAGGCGCGAAAGCGUGGGGAGCGAACAGG
rnacentral:rRNA from 1 species